UAGGGAAUAUUGCACAAUGGGCGAAAGCCUGAUGCAGCAACGCCGCGUGCGCGAAGAAGGUCUUCGGAUCGUAAAGCGCUUUUCUGGGAGAUGAGAAAGGACAGUAUCCCAGGAAUAAGUCUCGGCUAACUACGUGCCAGCAGCCGCGGUAACACGUAGGAGGCGAGCGUUAUCCGGAUUCACUGGGCGUAAAGCGCGUGCAGGCGGUUCGGUAAGUUGGGCGUGAAAUCUCCCGGCUCAAUUGGGAGAGGUCGUUCAAUACUACCGAACUUGAGAGCGAUAGAGGAAAAUGGAAUUCCCGGUGUAGUGGUGAAAUGCGUAGAUAUCGGGAGGAACACCAGUGGCGAAAGCGAUUUUCUGUAUCGUUUCUGACGCUCAGACGCGAAAGCUAGGGUAGCAAACG
rnacentral:rRNA from 1 species